rnacentral:rRNA from 1 species
UGGGGAAUAUUGGACAAUGGGGGCAACCCUGAUCCAGCGAUGCCGCGUGUGUGAAGAAGGCCUGCGGGUUGUAAAGCACUUUAAUGGGGGAGGAGAGGCCUAUUGUUAAUAGCGAUAGGAAGAGACGUUACCCCAAGAAUAAGCACCGGCUAACUCUGUGCCAGCAGCCGCGGUAAUACAGAGGGUGCGAGCGUUAAUCGGAAUUACUGGGCGUAAAGGGCGCGUAGGCGGAUAGAUAAGUCAUAUGCGAAAGCCCCGGGCUUAACCUGGGAAUGGCCUAUGAUACUGUUUAUCUAGAGUAGGGUAGAGGGAAGUGGAAUUUCCGGUGUAGCGGUGAAAUGCGUAGAUAUCGGAAGGAACACCAGUGGCGAAGGCGGCUUCCUGGACUCAUACUGACGCUGAGGCGCGAGAGCGUGGGUAGCAAACAGGAUUAGAUACCCCGGUAGUCCCUGAGCGGGCUGGCAAGGCGCAU